UUUUCUAAGAGUGUGGAGAGCUUUUUGAUACCAAAGUUGCUAACACCAAUAGACUUGGCUAAGCCCAAUCUAUAACAAUCUUCCAUAGCUUCCCAUGUUUCUUUUAUGUCAAAUGGAAUCACAUCCUCGCCUUUAAAGUUUAUGCCUUCAACAUCUUGUUUCAGCCUCACUGGCCAGUGAAUCAAAUAGAGAUCCACAUACUCCAACCCCAGCUUUCUAAACAAUUUCAACCCAAAAAACCAAUAAAGAAAAUUAGAUAAGUAAUAAAAAGCAUAAACUUAAAUGAAGGGUAAAAAAAAGUUAAGAGAAUUAUGCUUGCUUGAGAGUGGUUUUGAGAGCUGGGAGAACAAGGUCAUGGUGAGCAUCAGUACACCAUAACUUGGAAGUAAUGAACAGUUCAUCGCGAUUUUUAAUGAGUCCUAGCUCUAAAGAUUUUGACACAGCUUGGCCAACAGGUUCUUCAGUAUUAUACACCGAAGCAGUAUCAAAAUGUCUGUAACCAAUGUCAAUGGCAUCAAGUAAAGUUUGUGGAGGAGGAAUUGUUCCUGUUCCAAAUCCUAUUGUUGGCAUCUUUUUCCCGGAAUUUAGUACUACCUCAGGAACUUUCUUUGCUUCCAUCUUCUUUUUUGUGUUGGUUCAAGGCACAAGAUUCACACAAUUCACAAUUUUCUCUUAUGUAUGUUAACUUUGAGACUUGGCUUUUGGUUAUAAAUGGUGGUUUAAGAUGCAAAUAAGAUAUUAUAAUUAUUGUAUUAUUGACUAUUUGUCUUCUAAUGACCAAAGCAAGAGAAAUCAACAUAUCAGGAGAGACUGUCACACAAGUUACAUAUAAAUAAAGAAAUUUUGGUUUCUUGAAGUACUUAUAUUAGAUUUGAUAUAUCUUUCUCCCUCUAUUUUGGCAACUGAGCUAAUUAGAAAAUACAAUGAUACAAUUUUAAAUUGUAGAGAAAAUUUCAUUGACCUUCAGCACAACUAGCACUGAAAUCUUAAAAAUACAACUUGUGAUAAUGAAUUUUGGAAAUUGAGUCAUAUCUAAAUUGUAGAAUGAGGCUGUGUUAUUCAAGGAAAUAAUUAACUUCAAUACUAAGCCAUUGUUACAGUGCACCUGCAUAAGAAGGGAAAGGUAAAGGUGUGACUCCAAAAUUUGAAAAGAUAGAGAUGUGAAUACAAGAACAAAAGUAUAAACAUCAGCUAACUGAAAUUACUUUAUCUAAAGUAUUGAAGAAUAUCAUAAAACCAGCAGAAAUCUGACGGGAUGACUUGAUGACUUCCAACUCGAGUUAGUCCGAGGAGUUCCACAUUAUGCAAUAGUUUCUUAAUUUGGCAUAUACUAGAAAACCAGAGAAAGAAAUUAACUAUAUACUAGACAGAUAACGUCCAUGUCCAUGUAUCUGUUUUCUAACAUCAAAAUCUUAUCAAUCCUCCCAGUAGUUAAAUCAAACCAGACUAAUUCUUGUUUAUUUUGUCUAUUGUGUCUACUUCUAAACAAUAACUUGCCCUUCUUCGCCACAACGAUUGGAUAAUUAAGGGAAGGUGAUGGUCCGACAACGUAGAGUUUAUAGUCCAUGAUUCCUUUACACCGAGUUCAUCCAAAAUUGAAAUGUGAAUUGUAAAAGCCUUUUUAUAAUUUAAGAUGAAAGCAAUAGAUCCAUUCAAUAUCACCAAGUCUCUCAAUAUCACCAGGUCAUUGUUGACCUCAAAACUGGGCAUGGGUGUUUUAGUAAAAGAUUCAUUAUUGAAGUCAAAUGACACCAAAUAUGUAUGUGUUUCAUUUUUAUCCCACCAAUGAGACACUCCAUCCAUGUACACGGCUUUAUUGCGAGAGAAAAAGAGGCAUGUUGACAUGAAUUAUCCUCCAACGGUUAUUACUUAAUCUAUAUAUCUCCCAGAAGGAAUUAUAGUUGUCGUCAUCAUCAUCAGAGUCAGAGUCAGUCAUUGAACCGAAUCACCUUAUAGUCAUCUUUAAUGUGAUCAUAACCAACUAGAUGAUAAAAGGGAGUAACAUUCUCCCCGUCCCAAGAAGGUUCAGGCUCAAACCGACUGGGAGGAAUGACCUUAAAAAUUAUGUAUUUGAGUCAUAAAUAACAUAAAAAAAUUAUUAAAAAAAAAUAACAUAAUUUUAAAUGCACAAGCGACAAGCUUCACACAAUUCACAAUUUUCAAUGCAUAAGCUUUGAUCAGACAAAUACUAUCCAGUUAAGUCCAUCUCCAAUGGUGUAGUACCUAUUAGGUACUCAUGGUACUUAUUAGGUACUACCAUUGGAGAACAACACAUUUUAGUAUUUAAUAAGUACCAAUUCUAAUAUAAGAACUAUAUCUCUCUUCUUUUUAUGGGACCCACUUUAUUUAAUAUAUUCAAAAAAUAAAAAAAUCACAACUUUUAAAUUGGUAUAAAAAUUUAAUGUCAACCAUAUAUAGACGUUUUUACCGUUGGAAAAAAAAUAAAUACUCCUAUCAUAUAAAUCAAAACCAAAUUGAAGGAUUCUACUCCUCUGAAAAUUACCAUUUUAUUAAUUAUUUUAAAUUAUUUUUUAAUUAUGUAAUUCUUAAAAUUUGGCAAUAUUAUUUUAAAUUAAAUUUCAAAUUUUAAUUAUUUUUUUGAAUUAUAAAAAAAAUGGUCCAUACUAAUUUUGUAAUUUUAUCAUUAAUUCAAUCAAUUUAUAUUAUAAAAUAGAUAAUUAAAUAUAUUGUAAUGAUGUGAAGUUAUUGAUGGGACCCAUUUUUGAACUUUUUAAGAAAUGCUCCAUUGGAGGGGUUGAGUACCUAUUAGGUACUAUUAUUAAAAAAAUAAUAAAUUGAUGAUGUGUCCAUGUGAGACUAUUUAAGUACUAAAAAAUGGAGUGCUCCAUUGUGGAUGCUCUAACAUUGAGACUUGAGAUUUGGUUAUAAAUGGUGGUUUAGGAUGCAAAUAAGAUAUUAUAAUUAUUGUAUUAUUAUUGAUUAUUGGAUAUUGACUAUUUCUCUUCUAAUAACCAAAGCAAGAGAAAUCAACAUAUCAUGAGAGACCGCCACACAAGUUACUUAUAAAUAAAUAAUUUUUUAUUUCUUGAAAUUAGAUUUAAUAUAUCUUAAAUUGUAGAGAAACUAAUUAGAAAAUAAUAGAGUUCACAUGGUAUGGUCGUCCAUACCAGUCCAACCUUCAAUACAACUAGCAUUGAAAUCUGAAAAAUACAACUUCAUAAUGAAUUUUGGAAAUUUAGAGACGUAUCUAAAUUAUAGAAUGAGCCUGUGUUAUUCAAGACAUCAAAUAAUUAACCUCAACAAUACUAAGUAAUUGUUACAGUGCACCUGUUUCUCGUUAUUGGAUUAAGUUUUUGAAAGUGUUGAAUGAGUUAGGGACAAGUUAUGUCUAACCAGUAUAUAAUUAUUUGUGGUCUUAAAAAACACGAAAAGCCAUAUGAAGAUGCUGCAUGACUCAGAAAUGAAGAAUAUAUCAACUGUCAUCAACAAACAAAAAGAACUAGCUAAUAGGAAUUUGGAAUCGUUCAGUGAGAAUUAUGUUUUCUUUUGACCUUUGUCAUUGUUUAGUUACAGGCUUAUUGGACAACAAUAGCAGCAGAAGCCAGAAAAGCAGAUGUUUUAAACAAUAAUAUAAAGGAAAGGAAAAUGCUAAACAGUGCCCCGGGACACUGGUUAGCAUGACCCCUUUUGGUAUGCUUAACAAGUGCUCGGGGGCACUGUUUAGCAUGACCCUAAGAUAAAAUAAAAUGAAAAACAAAGAGAAUAUGCAAAAAGGUCGCUGUUUAUAUACAUAUCUUUUCGUGCAAAAAUAAGAUCUAUGUAAGUAUCUGCUGUACAAUUUGUUUCAACUAAUAUCUAUGUAAGUUUCCUAUUUAGUGAGAUUUAACAUUGAAGCAAGAAGUGAGUUCUAAGAAAGCAUAUUCACUGCAAGGAAUUGUGAGACCCCCCAUUGGAUGAGCAUAUCCAAAUUCUUCUUCUGACAGGCUUAAUAAUUCUUGAAAUGAAGGUUGAUUCAAGAAUGAAACGGGAAUCACAAACCGCUUCAUUUUGUCUCCAACAUAAACUGCAAGAUGGCCUUUUGCGACUUCAUCCACAGCCUUGGAAGAUGAUGACCUUCUGAUAGGAGGUAAUCGGAAUCCCAUAUUGUUAAUUUCUUAUUAUGAGUUGCAGCACACUGAUUAACACUGAAUGCAGAAGCUUGUGUAGAAAGAAAGAAACUUUUGAAUUUGUAUUUGUGAGUGACUUGUAUUGCUACUUGAGAAUGUAAUGACGAGUAUAUAUAGAUAGAUAGAUAGACGAGUCUUUGUGAAAACAAUUCUAUGCUGAAUUUUAGUUGAUAAGAGACAAGACAAGGGCUAAUGAGAUGUCACAUGGUAUUGUUUCAUUGUCGUUUAAUUAUAUCAAGCAUUACUUGAGACUUGAAAACUCAUGCCACCUUAGUUUUGCCCCUUUAGAAAGAGACUUUACAACCACUAAGAUAAUAAUUGCAUUCUUGCACCAGGACAAGCUCAAAACAUAUCACAGGCUCCUCAAGUUAUUGUUUAACAACCAGAAAAUUGGUUCUUGGGAUCUGAUUCUGAUAUAUGAACCAUGAAAUCUACCUGAUAGAUAGCUACUAAAUAAUAGAAUUCGAGACAAGAGAAGAACACAAUUUAUAACAAAAUCCUAUGUCCCUAACUAAUACUACUGUUACAAGGAAAUUUGUAGACAUUUUUAUUAUGUAUUAGUUGCUACUUCAUAAUUUUGUAAGCAUGCCAUAGACAUGUUUCUAGCCUCUACUUAAGGAGGUGGGACAUGCAUUAUCUACUAUAUAUUAUGACAUUUGAAGUUGACCCUUUAGGAAGUAAUUUAAGGCAAUAUCAUGUGAUCUAUUAUAUGCCCUUGUCUACCUUAAGUUCUAUGGCUCACAAUGGCUCAAAUCUCAUGGUCCUCCUUCAAUGAUCUUUCAAGUUGCCGCCGACUGUUUGGUACAUAUCGUCUCAUCUAUAUAUAUUCAUGGGUGCAAACAUUUAGAACCAACACAAAAUCAUUCACAACACAAACCAUCUUCUUAUACACACAAGUCUAACAAUUUUAGACUAACAUCUUCUUUUAACAACACAUACAAGAAUGGGUUUUCGUUUAUCCGGUAAUAUCAUCAAAAGGGCUGCAAACCAAACAUCUUUAAAAGGCGUGGAUGUGCCAAAGGGAUAUCUUGCGGUAUAUGUUGGAGAGAAAACGAAGCGGUUUGUGAUCCCUAUAUCAUAUUUGAGCCAACCAUCGUUUCAAGAAUUGUUGAAUCAAGCUGAGGAACAAUUCGGAUAUGACCAUCCAACAGGUGGUCUCACGAUUCCUUGCAGAGAAGACAUUUUCUUGGAUAUUACUUCCCAUUUGAAUCUGUGCUAACUCCUUCAGAAGAAGGAACUGAUGUAGAUUAAUUGAGGCAAAUUUGUACAGAAGACACUUAUUUUUCUUUAUAGUCUAAGUCUAACUUUGUCAGCAAGUGAAAAAGAAACUGAGUAUAGAGAGAUUAUGACUUGAUUAGGAAAAUUUUCAAUGAAUUUGUAUUAAAACUUAUAUGCAGAAUAAUAAUACAAAGAGACAUAUGUGUCUUGCAUCUACCUAAUUUUUCUCUUGUUCCAUAACUCAUGAAAACAACUUUUACCUUACUAUGAAAGAAGCAAAUAUAUUCCAUUCAUUNNNNNNNNNNNNNNNNNNNNNNNNNNNNNNNNNNNNNNNNNNNNNNNNNNNNNNNNNNNNNNNNNNNNNNNNNNNNNNNNNUCUUCCUGGUUCAAUUCCCAAUCAAAUAUUUCAGUGUUUUGUUUCAUUCUCUCUUUGUUGAAGCUUUUUACAAUCGGAGUUGCCCCUUGCUCGUAUAUCCAUCUUAGUGCUAUCUGCAUAAUAUAUAUAUAUAUAUAUAUAUAGUUUCAAUGUAUCAUUCAUCUCGAUAUAGAAGUAGUAUAUGUGUGACUUUAGGAAGUUUAAACUGUUAAUCAACUGCACCUGAGCUACACUCUUUUUUCUAGCNNNNNNNNNNNNCGCAGAAUUGAAUUCUCCAUCACUGCACACGAACCCCAACUUAGAUUGUAUCCUCCUAGUGGUGACCAUGCACUCACAUGGAUUCCUUUCUGCUUGCAGAAUUCUCUGAGUUUCCCCUGAUGCCAUGAUGGGUUCAUUUCCACCUAAAUCCAAAUAAGAAUGUGUAACAAAAACAAUCACUUUUGUGUCUAUAAUUAGUAUGAUGAAGAAUCGUAUCUAGAUGACAAUUGUGUGCUAAGUUGAUAAGAAAGUAUCGAAAAUGUAUUCGAGAAGUAUCAAUGGAAAUAUAUUUAAAGCCAUUCAAAAAAAAUGGAAAUAUAUUUAAAAUAAAUCAUUGGAUACUAUCCGUAAGGGAAGUAUCAGACACGUAUCAGACACAUAUCAGUAUCAGAUACGUGCCUGAUGCUUUUCUCUAUGUCAGAAUGAAUCAAACAAAUCAACUAGUACAAAAUUCUUAUACCUGAUUAACUGCAGGUGGAAUUUGGGAAUUUUCUAAAAGUGUAGAGAGCUUUUUGAUACCAAAGUUGCUAACACCAAUAGACUUGGCUAAGCCCAAUCUAUAACACUCUUCCAUAGCUUCCCAUGUUCCUUUUAUGUCAAAAGGAAUUAUAUCCUCACUUUUAAAGUUUAAACCUUCAACAUCUUGUUUAAACCUCACUGGCCAAUGAAUCAAAUAGAGAUCCACAUACUCCAAUCCCAGCUUUCUAAACAAUUUCAAACCAAAAAAAAUUAAAAAUUAGACAAGUAAUAAAAUAUACACAAACAUAAAAGAAGAAGAGAAAAAAUUAAGAGAAUUAUGCUUGCUUGAGAGUGGUUUUGAGUGCUGGAAGAACAAGAUCAUGGUGAGCAUCAGUGCACCAUAACUUAGAAGUAAUAAAUAAUUCAUCGCGAUUUUUAACGAGGCCUAGCUCUAAAGCUUUUGACACAGCUUGGCCUAGAGGUUCUUCAGUAUUGUAGAAAGCAGCAGUAUCAAAAUGUCUAUAGCCAAUCUCAAUGGCAUCAAGCAAAGUUUGUUGAGGAGGAAUUGUUCCUGUUCCAAAUCCUAUUGUUGGCAUCGUUUUCCCUGAAUUUAGUACCACCUCAGGAAUUUUCUUAUCUGCCAUAUUUUUUGUGUUGGUUUAAGGCACAAGGUUUACACAAUUCACAAUUGUCUCUUAUUUUUGUAGUAUGUUACUAUGUUAGUUUUGAGACUUGAGUUGUGCUAUAAAUAAUAGUUCAAGACACAAAGAAGAUAUUGUUGAUUGUUUAUUAUUGACUAUUUGCACCCUAAUGACCCAAGGAAUAACUGGAGCAGAUUCAAACUUCUAUAUUCUAGUACAUUCUAGUUUUACUUUGUGAUGUCACUGCUUUGCUGUUUCUUCUUUGCUUCUUUUAAAUCUAGAUAAGGGACCAACUUGAAACUUUUAUAAGAUAAAGGACCAACUUGAAACCUAAAAUAAAGAUAAGGGACCAAAAGUGUAAUUAAGCCUUUUUUUUUUACAGUAAAAUAAGUUUAUGCUCUUGAUGACAGUAAAUUAUAUGAUGUUUUUAGGUACUAUUUAGGUUAGUUUUUAGUAGUUUUAGUAGUGAUUGAAGAUCAAAUGCAAGCAAAUACCUAAAGUUAUGAAGUUACUUGACCAAGAAGCAAGUAAAGUGGAAAAUGCAUAAAAAAGUGGAAAAAAGGAAGAAAUACGCUGAAUAUACCACAUCGUACCAAAAACGCCAUAAAUGGAGUUACAAGUAUCGGAUCGAGUCAUGUGACCCUGCGUUGGAAAGAUAAGACAAAGAACUACAAUUUUCAUGUUAAAGCAAAAUUCUAAUUCUGAAGUCUCAUUGUGUCCAUGAUGGAUUCAUCGUGGCCACGAUGAAGUGAAAACUUGGCCGCAAGGAGAAAAGAACAAACUGUGUGCUGAUCAAACAAGAAAACACACUCAUCGUAGCUACGAUGGAUCCCAUCUCGCCACGAUGGAAAAAGUCCAAANNNNNNNNNNNNNNNNNNNNNNNNNNNNNNNNNNNNGAACUAUAAAGUCUCUAAGGAGCAAAGGAGGAGGAACAAGGAGGGCUAAGGAUCUCUCAAGGGAAGGAGACUUCCCCAUCAUAGGGAGACGAAACUUUCUCCGCAAGGAAUCGAGGUUAUUUUUAUGCAUGUUUUCUUUAUUGUUCAAUAUUCUUAAUAAUAGCAAGUCCCUUUAGGUUAGGUUGAGUAGAUUACAUCCCUUAUGAAUGUUUGAGACAUGUAAUUUGGUUCGAAAAAAACUAUUUACAAUUACUAUUCAGUUAUUAUCUGUUAUUGUCUCUGUUUAUUUAUACACUUUCAUAUAUGAACGCGCGCAUAUUUUGUUAGCACCUAGAAUUGAAGUGGAUCCCGUGACACAUCUGAAACUCCGAAUUAAAGAGAUAAUAUAACCAACCAAUAUGAGACCAUUAAAUUCAGUAUCUGAGGUUAGAUUUGUGGAUUAAGAGUCGCACAUAGUUAAAUUCUUACAAUUAGGCAAACAAGGUAGGAAAACACGUGACAACUUGUUAAAGGUAGAAAACGUGACAAACAAGGGGCCCUAUCAGCGGUUGGCUAUACUUUCUUCAGUUGCAAUAGGAUAAGGAAUGGUAGCACUGAACUUAUCUAAUAGAAAUUAACCACCAGAUGAUAAAUGAAUAGUAAGCAGAUAUAGCGUCAGUUACCGAGCAGGAAUAAGGGAGAGAUUCGAAAGCACUUAACCUACUUUUAUCAUUUUGAACUCUUUCUUUUAUCUUUAGUCUUAUACUAUCUAACUUUUGUCUCAAAAUCUUUUUCAAACAAAUAAAACGAAAGCAAAAUUAUCUUAAUUCCUAAAUGAAACUAGUUGCCUUGGCAGGAUCCCUAUGGAUACAAACUCAUUCUAGACACCUAAAGUGUAAAUUAUUACUCGCCGAUAGACUAAUCCACUUGCCAGUCUGCGGUCAGCUCUCAAUAAAUAUUUUAAAUUUACCAACAUGUUGUAGAAGUAGAAGGGGUGGAUACUUUAGUUCUUUAAUCAUUUGAUUUUGGGUUCAAUCUUUACCCUGAGUGUAUUGGACAUUAAAUUUGUUUAUCUCUUGGCUGGAAUUCGAAUUUUGGCUCGCCUUAUCGUAAGAGUCUAGCCUCUUCUAUUUUAUUUUUUUUGUUUACAAUGGAGCUGAAAAUCGAACUCAAAACUUCUAGCAUACUACUCAAAUCCUUCACCACUAGACCAAACCUAGUGACUUGUGUAGCCUCUUCUAUUAGAUUUAGCUUUUGUUCAUUCAUAUAAUAAUUCUUUAAUUGAUAAUUAAUUGUUACUUUUAUGAAUUUGUAAACUCUUGUAUUAUUUUUUGAGUUAUCAUAUUAGUUUGACUUACUCCGUUGUUUAUAAAAUACAUUUUAAGUCUUCAAUUAAAAGAUUGGGUGUUGAUGAAGACUAUUCAAUCAAAUUAUCAAAAGGACUUUCUGUGCUCCUCACAAAGUACUUGUCGUGGAAGAUGUUACGACAAAGAAAGGUUGAUUUUUAAAGUAGACAAUAUUGAAUUUAAGCUCCUUUAAGACCAAUGACUACUAAUAAUAGUAAUGUGGAAAUAUGUAUCAACAAUUGAAGAAAUUUCCUUCAGCUUUCAUAAUAUGAUUUUAACACCGCAAUUGAAGAAAUUUACUAUGACAUUAUGAAAAUUGUAUUAGGAAGGAUUAAUUAAUUUGUGUAUUAAUAAGGAGUAAAAGAAGUACUCAAAUCCUUACAAUACAACAAAAUCUCUUAAAUACUAAGCAAACAUUUUAAGGGAUUGACACACUAAUCGGAAUACAAAUAGGGACAAUGUCUACCCGAACGGCCAAUAAACCAAAACCAAGAAAUUAGCUUAAUUUGAUCCACCAACUGACCAUAAUCGGCUAUAGCACCCCUAAAGACAAUGUUAAUACGCAACCUUCAAGCACACCAAGUUGUUGCAAACCAAAUCAAACUUAGGACCUACUUGUUUUCUUCAGCAGAAACGGUAAUUUUUACUGCUCUAAGUUUAGCCUUAAAUUUCAGACGGUACUGGCACAAGGUCAUUUUUUAAUUUACAGAACUUAGAUCAAAUAAGUACUUUAAAAGAACUAAAAAGAGAUAAAGAAGAAUUAGUACGCUCAAGGAUAAACUUGUACAUGUGAAUAUGUGAUUAACUCAAAGAUUAAAUUGUAAAGUAAUUAUUUCAGCACCUAAGUAAUCAUGUAUGCGUGAAUCAUGAUAGCUUAGGCUCACAAGAGAAAUGAUUCAUCACACUUUUUGACCCAUGCAUCAAUUAUUUAAACACAAUUUCACUCAAACAUCGUCGUCCCACAGCUCUUCCAAGGAUUUGUAAGGUCCAUUUUCAGAUACAAACAUUUCUGCCUUUUGAAAUCUGCAUUGAGGAAUCUGAUUGAUUUUGUCUAAAUCUUCCUGGUUCAAUUCCCAAUCAAAUAUUUCAGUGUUUUUUUUCACCCUCUCUUUGUUGAAGCUUUUUACAAUUGGAGUUACCCCUUGCUCGUAUAUCCAUCUUAGUGCUAUCUGCAUAAUCAAAAACUUUAAUGUAACAGUCAUCUCAAUAUAGUAGUAUAUGUAUUACUUUCGGAAGUUUAAACCGUUAAUCAACUGAACCUGAGCUACACUCUUCUUUCGAGCCUCAGCAAUUNNNNNNNNNNNNNNNNNNNNNNNNNNNNNNNNNNNNNNNNNNNNNNNNNNNNNNNNNNNNNNNNNNNNNNNNNNNNNNNNNNNNNNNNNNNNNNNNNNNNNNNNNNNNNNNNNNNNNNNNNNNNNNNNNNNNNNNNNNNNNGGAAAUAUUUUCAGAAAGAAUAUUGGAUACUAUACGUAUAGGGAAGUAUCAGACACAUAUCGGUAUCAGAUACGUGUCAAAUGUUUUUCUCUACAUCAGAAAUCAAGUAGUACUAAAUUGUUAUACCUGAUUAACUGCAGGUGGAAUUUUGGCAUUUUCUAAGAGUGUGGAGAGCUUUUUGAUACCAAAGUUGCUAACACCAAUAGACUUGGCUAAGCCUAGUCUAUAACACUCUUCCAUAGCUUCCCAUGUUCCUUUUAUGUCAAAAGGAAUUAUAUCCUCACUUUUAAAGUUUAAACCUUCAACAUCUUGUUUAAACCUCACUGGCCAGUGAAUCAAAUAGAGAUCCACAUACUCCAAUCCCAGUUUUCUAAACAAAUUUCAAACCAAAAAAAUAUUAAAAAUUAGGCAAGUAAUAAAAUACAAAUACUUAAAAGAAGAGAAAAAAGGUAAGAGUACUUGCUUGAGAGUGGUUUUGAGAGCUGGGAGAACAAGGUCAUGGUGAGCAUCAGUACACCAUAACUUAGAAGUAAUGAAUAAUUCAUCGCGAUUCUUAACGAGGCCUAGAUCUAAAGCUUUUGACACGGCUUGGCCUAGAGGUUCUUCAGUAUUAUAUAGAGCAGCAGUAUCAAAAUGUCUGUAGCCAAUCUCAAUGGCAUCAAGCAAAGUUUGUUGAGGAGGAGUUGAUCCUGUUCCAAAUCCUAUUGUUGGUAUCUUUUUCCCUGAAUUUAGUACCACCUCAGGAAUU
rnacentral:lncRNA from 1 species